rnacentral:ncRNA from 1 species
UUUUGGUAGAGGCGCAUCUUUUAAGACUAUAUUACAGGAUAUGGCAGACAUAGAGGAAUGUAAUAGAAAGGAAAAGAUGCCGAAAUUAAGGUAAUUCUGCAUUAUCUUAGUUGGGCUUAUGGUUAAUAACUAUAUGACUGUCAUCAUAUCUGAUGGAGUGCUACCUAA